GAGAAGCUGGCACACGUGGUUUUGUGUGCUGUGCUGUGAGUGUUGCUGCAGGCAGCUGAGCAGGGAGCAUGUAAAAGCUGGAAAACCACUACAUGGAUUAACCAGCUGCAUUCUCAAAACAAAGACGACAACCAUGUUUUACAAACAGCAGAAACACCCAUCCCUCCAUUAAAAAACCAUCCUUUUAAUGCUGCUCAAGAGACCAUGCCAGUGUCACAACCCUAUGAAGUCCUGUUGUGCCAUAAAGGUCUGAGCAGCUGGGAACAAACAAGCAGCCUCCCAUCCAUUCCUUAGGGAAGGU